UACGUAGGGGGCUAGCGUUGUCCGGAAUCAUUGGGCGUAAAGCGCGUGUAGGCGGCCCGGUAAGUCCGCUGUGAAAGUCGGGGGCUCAACCCUCGAAAGCCGGUGGAUACUGUCGGGCUCGAGUACGGAAGAGGCGAGUGGAAUUCCUGGUGUAGCGGUGAAAUGCGCAGAUAUCAGGAGGAACACCGGUGGCGAAGGCGGAUCUCUGGGCCUUACCUGACGCUGAGGCGCGAAAGGCGUGGGGAGCGAACAGG
rnacentral:rRNA from 1 species